GAUGAACGCUGACAGAAUGCUUAACACAUGCAAGUCGAUGGGGAAGUGGUGCUUGCACCAUGGCAACCAUGGCGGACGGGUGAGUAACGCGUAAGGGACUUACCUGCAGGACUGGGAUAACAGGGGGAAACUCCUGACAAGACCGGAUAAUGUCAUGGAGCUGCAUGGCUUUAUGAUGAAAGGAGACGCCUGCGGAGAGCCUUGCGUCCUAUUAGCUAGUUGGUGAGGUAAUGGCUCACCAAGGCGAAGAUAGGUGGCCGGCCUGAGAGGGUGGACGGCCACAAGGGGACUGAGAUACGGCCCUUACUCCUACGGGAGGCAGCAGUGGGGAAUAUUGGACAAUGGGGGCAACCCUGAUCCAGCAAUUCUGUGUGCACGAAGAAGGUUUUCGGAUUGUAAAGUGCUUUCAGCAGGGAAGAAGUAAGUGACGGUACCUGCAGAAGAAGCGACGGCUAAAUACGU
rnacentral:rRNA from 1 species